AACGAACGCUGGCGGCAGGCUUAACACAUGCAAGUCGAGCGCCCCGCAAGGGGAGCGGCAGACGGGUGAGUAACGCGUGGGAACGUACCCUUUGCUACGGAAUAACUCAGGGAAACUUGUGCUAAUACCGUAUACGCCCUUCGGGGGAAAGAUUUAUCGGAGAUGGAUGAGCCCGCGUUGGAUUAGCUAGUUGGUGGGGUAAAGGCCUACCAAGGCGACGAUCCAUAGCUGGUCUGAGAGGAUGAUCAGCCACAUUGGGACUGAGACACGGCCCAAACUCCUACGGGAGGCAGCAGUGGGGAAUAUUGGACAAUGGGCGCAAGCCUGAUCCAGCCAUGCCGCGUGAGUGAUGAAGGCCCUAGGGUUGUAAAGCUCUUUCACCGAUGAAGAUAAUGACUGUAGUCGGAGAAGAAGCCCCGGCUAACUACGUGCCAGCCGCCGCAGUAAGAC
rnacentral:rRNA from 1 species